rnacentral:rRNA from 1 species
GAUCCUGGCUCAGGAUGAACGCUAGCUACAGGCUUAACACAUGCAAGUCGAGGGGCAGCAUCAUCAAAGCUUGCUUUGAUGGAUGGCGACCGGCGCACGGGUGAGUAACACGUAUCCAACCCGCCGACAACACUGGGAUAGCCUUUCGAAAGAAAGAUUAAUACCGGAUGGCAUAGUUUUCCCGCAUGGGAUAAUUAUUAAAGAAUUUCGGUUGUCGAUGGGGAUGCGUUCCAUUAGG